rnacentral:rRNA from 1 species
CAAACCAAAGCUGGCGACCGGCGCACGGGUGAGUAACACGUAUCCAACCUGCCUCAUACUCGGGGAUAGCCUUUCGAAAGAAAGAUUAAUAUCCGAUAGCAUAUAUUUCCCGCAUGGGUUUUAUAUUAAAGAAAUUCGGUAUGAGAUGGGGAUGCGUUCCAUUAGUUUGUUGGGGGGUAACGGCCCACCAAGCUCGAUGGAUAGGGGUUCUGAGAGGAAGGUCCCCCACAUUGGAACUGAGACACGGUCCAA